UGGGGGAUAUUGCACAAUGGGCGAAAGCCUGAUGCAGCGACGCCGCGUGGGGGAUGAAGGCCUUCGGGUUGUAAACUUCUUUUGCUCUGAACAAGGCAUGCUAAUGGGUGUGUUGAGUGUAGGGGUUGAUUAGCGCCGGCUAACUACGUGCCAGCAGCCGCGGUAAUACGUAGGGCGCGAGCGUUGUCCGGAAUUAUUGGGCGUAAAGGGCUUGUAGGUGGCUGGUUGCGUCUGUCGUGAAAGCUCAUGGCUUAACUGUGGGUUUGCGGUGGGUACGGGCUGGCUUGAGUGCAGUAGGGGAGGCUGGAAUUCCUGGUGUAGCGGUGGAAUGCGCAGAUAUCAGGAGGAAUACCGGUAGCGAAGGCGGGUCUCUGGGCUGUUACUGACACUGAGGAGCGAAAGCAUGGGGAGCGAACAGG
rnacentral:rRNA from 1 species